rnacentral:rRNA from 1 species
AUUGAACGCUGGCGGCAGGCCUAACACAUGCAAGUCGAACGAGUGGCGGACGGGUGAGUAAUGCCUAGGAAUCUGCCUGGUAGUGGGGGGUAACGUCCGGAAACUUACGCUAAAACCGCAUACGAUUGAAUGAGCCGAUGUCGGAUUAGCUAGUUGGCGGGGUAAAGGCCCACCAAGGCGACGAUCCGUAGCUGGUAUGAGAGGAUGAUCAGCCACACUGGAACUGAGACACGGUCCAGACUCUGACGGGAGGCAGCAGUGGGGAAUAUUGGACAAUGGGCGCAAGCCUGAUCCAGCCAUACCGCGUGGGUGAAGAAGGCCUUCGGGUCGUAAAGCCCUUUUGUUGGGAAAGCGGUACCCAAAGAAUAAGCACCGGCUAACUUCGUGCCAGCAGCCGCGGUAAUAC